rnacentral:rRNA from 1 species
UACGAAGGUCCCAAGCGUUAUCCGGAUUUAUUGGGUUUAAAGGGUGCGUAGGCGGGCUAUUAAGUCAGUGGUGAAAUCUCCAUGCCUAACAUGGAAACUGCCAUUGAUACUGAUGGUCUUGAGUACAUUUGAAGUGGGCGGAAUGUGUCAUGUAGUGGUGAAAUACUUAGAUAUGACACAGAACACCGAUUGCGUAGGCAGCUCACUAAACUGUAACUGACGCUGAGGCACGAAAGCGUGGGGAGCAAAC